GAUGAACGCUGGCGGCGUGCCUAACACAUGCAAGUCGAACGAACCUUGGGGAACAGAUUACUUCGGUUUGAAGUUCCCCGCUGGUUAGUGGCGGACGGGUGAGUAACGCGUGGGUAACCUGCCGUAUGCAGGGGGAUAACAGUUAGAAAUGACUGCUAAUACCGCAUAAGCGCACAGUAUCGCAUGAUACAGUGUGAAAAACGAUAGUGGCAUACGAUGGACCCGCGUCUGAUUAGCUAGUUGGCGGGGUAACGGCCCACCAAGGCGACGAUCAGUAGCCGGCCUGAGAGGGUGAACGGCCACAUUGGAACUGAGACACGGUCCAAACUCCUACGGGAGGCAGCAGUGGGGGGAUAUUGCACAAUGGGGGAAACCCGUACGAUGCAGCGACGCCGCGUGAGUGAAGAAGUAAUUUCGGUUAGUGUAAAGACUCUAUC
rnacentral:rRNA from 1 species